rnacentral:lncRNA from 1 species
GCGCACAGCCCAGCGGGCCCUGCCCCGCCGGCGGCCGCCACGCCGCGGCGCUCGCGAGGGAAGGGGCCGGCACCGACAACGCGGCGGCUGCCCGGGCGGGGAAGGGCGGGCGGGGCACGUCAGCCCACGCAGGCGCCCGGGGGCGGCCGGAGUUUUCCCGGCGCGGUGCCUCCCCUCGGAGCGUCUCGGCAGAGGCGGUGCCGGCCGGGGGCGCGUCUCCCCCCGCGGCCCCCCGCCAGGCACCGUAUAUAGGCUGGGGCGCGCACUAGGCCCGCCCGCUGCGGGGGGCCCGGCCGAAGACCGUUUUGUUCUGCCCGAAAGAAUUAAAUGGCUGAAACUAUAGAUACUUCCAAUUUCUUCUUGCGAACAGUCAAUAUCAAUAUGGAGGCGUAGGCACCUUAGAAGGGACUUCAGUCUGAACUCUGGGAGGUAGUUCUGUGCACAAAUAAAGAAACUAAGGCUUCAAAAUUUUUUUUUUUUAAUCUGAGGAUUCUGUUUGUUUCUGUAUGCCAUAAACAUGGCAUACAGAAAAAACUUAAGUCAACAGUAUAAAGCAUUAGAAUGUCCUGACACAAGCCAAAUAAUUUAUGUUAAAUGUGAUAACUCUAUACUUGUAACUAAGGCACCAGGUUAAAACUGAAAUGCUCUGUUCAGUCUGUGCUGACAAUGUUAUAGACAGAAAAGCCUGGGGCUAUUCCAGGCUUGUUAAUUAAGACAGUUCAUCCUUGUCAGGGACAGUGUAUAAGAUUUGUUUAUCUCAUAGCUGAAUAUUCAAUAUAUGUGAAGUUGAGUACAAACUAACUUCUUUGGUCUUAACAAUUACUACAACAAUAUGCAGAAGUUGAGGGGUUUUUUGGAAGUCUAGUAGUAGCAAAUGUACCAGAUGAGUUCAGGGGCUCUUUUUUUGUAUGCCUUUUCAGCUUGAUAAACCAUUAUUUUCAGCCUCCCAAUGAGGUUUAAAACCUAAAAUCUUUACAUGUGUAUAAGCUCCACAUUUAUCAGCUGUCUAGGGUGAAAUAGUUCUUAAAUCACUUAAUAUAUGUUCUGGUUAAAAAUUAUGUCAUUUUAGUUGCCCCCCAUUUUAGUUUCUUUAUUGACAAAGGAUUUUGAUAAACCCGUUUGAGGUUGUUCCCCCUGCCCCUGCCUGGAUCCCACCUCCACUAGCCUGACAGAUUGAUACUGCUCUCCCAGAUACACAGUACAAGGAAAGCAUGUGAUGCCUAUAUGAUUCAAGGGAAGGUCCUUUUUGAUGUGCUUGCUUUAAUUGUCAGAAUGGGGUGGGGCAGCUUUUGCACUGAAAGCAGUUGUGUAAACUGAAGUACAAGAGCUUCCCUAGUGUUUUAAGGCUGUUAAUCAUGAGGCUAAUUCUAUUCACAUACGCAUUCAAAAUUGCACAUUGAAGUAUUUCAUUUUCAGGUUCCUACCUUUGUACAGGCAGGGGUUAUUCCAAAUUGCCUUUAAUGCACACAACUACCUCCCAGAGGAAGACUUGUCCCAU